AGUAAAAUCAGCUAAACAAGCUUUCGGGCUCAUGACCCUAAAAUGUUGGAUAAUCACCUUCUUUUACUA
rnacentral:tRNA from 1 species